rnacentral:rRNA from 1 species
AUUGAACGCUGGCGGCAGGCCUAACACAUGCAAGUCGAGCGAGGACUUCGGUCCUAGCGGCGGACGGGUGAGUAACGCGUGGGAACGUGCCCCUUGGUACGGAAUAGCCCCGGGAAACUGGGAGUAAUACCGUAUGAGCUCUACGGAGGAAAGAUUUAUCGGAGAAGGAUCGGCCCGCGUCUGAUUAGGUAGUUGGUGGGGUAAUGGCCUACCAAGCCUACGAUCAGUAGCUGGUUUGAGAGGAUGAUCAGCAACACUGGGACGGAGACACGGCCCAGACUCCUACGGGAGGCAGCAGUGGGGAAUCUUAGACAAUGGGCGCAAGCCUGAUCUAGCCAUGCCGCGUGAGCGAUGAAGGCCUUAGGGUUGUAAAGCUCUUUCGUGGGGGAAGAUAAUGACGGUACCCCAAGAAGAAGCCCCGGCUAACUCCGUGCCAGCAGCCGCCGUAAAAC